GUGAUUCAUAAAAUAUUCAUAAAAGAGUUUCACGGCAAUCUUGUGUUAUUUAGACGCUGCAUCGUCUGUGUCCCGCGAGUGCCCCCGUUCACUACAGUUAUAUAUGGGGAAGCGGCUCGCAAAAAACCCCCUAAUAUCUUCCCGAAGGACUCCAAAUGACACCAAACUUGCCUGGGAUGUUAAUGGCCUCCAGGCAGGUUUCACCGUUAAGCAGCUGCCCUGGAUGACACCUGUGAGGGAAACAGGAUGUGCAGCUCACCUGGCGGGCCGCGUGUCAGGGAUGUCUCGGUUGAGAGGCAGCCGGUCGCUGAGGAAAGCGUUGUAUCCGUAUCUCUGAAACAACAUCUCGGCUUCUUUUUGCUCCUCUUCAGACAGAUGAUCGCCCCACUUGAUGAACAGAUAAGAGUUUGGCAUCCCCUGACCCCUGAUGGAUUCAUUGUGAUGGGCCCUCUGGAGUCUCUGCGAGUGGAUGUGGACUUCUCUCUUGAUGGAGCCGAGGUACAGCAAGGCCGAAACCGCCACGACGAGCACCAGAGAUCCUUUGAACCAGCUAUGCCUCAUUCUUGUUCUGCUCUGCAACGGUUUUACUAAACUGAAAACAAAGGUGGAGGAAGUUUUGCAUUAAUCCAGGUGAUUGCAACCCCUUAUCUGUCUCUCCACCCCUUCCCUGCAAGCAAGUACAGUAUACAAACACAGACGUUUAGGCACCACAGCUCCCUCAACCUCACUCAAGGUUCCAGCCCCUCUUCAGUCAUCAGACAACACCUGGGGCACAAGGUGUGCAGCAUCAACAGAAGGUGCCUUGAGGGAAAGAGAACCAGAAAUCCCCAGCAGGUAACAGGAACAGGACUGACAGACAGGUCUUAUAACCCUGCUAAAAACACACCAAUGAAGUUGAAGGUUUGAUCAGGUUCUAUCUGCUCAUCCAGUCCAUGCCAGGUUUUCUUUUUAUCUUAUCUGUAGCUUUCUUCUGCAGUGUCAAAUAAAGAAGUUAAUGAAUUUAGUGCAGUUUUUGUACGUUCAAACAUUUAAACAAAAAGGGCCUUGCACCAGUAUAUCCUCAGCUAUCUGAUAGAUAUGUAUUUAUUGUACCCUUGGGUAAAUUAGGUUUACACUGAGUGCUUCCUCAUACAAUCCGUUCUUGUAAUCCAAGUAAAGCAUGUCGAUCUUUGCUGUUAAAGUGAUUUAAGCACAGAGAAAGUAUUUCCAUGGACUGUUUUACUUACCUUGAGUAACUUUCAACCCCCUUUUCAGGCACAGAAGAAAAAAAAAGCUGCCACCUUUGAUGUGCAUCAUCUUAAAUUAAGUCACUAUAUAACAAAAAUAAAAAAUCUCUGUUGCAUGGUCAACAUGCAACAGAGACCAGUUCAAUAACAUUGAACUGGACUGGCUUUCAAGUCAUUACAGCACCCCCCACUGACAUGGAAGAGUAUUCAAUGACAGCAGCAGAUUUACAGUAAUAUUUGGGAGACUAUUUAGGUAAAA